rnacentral:lncRNA from 1 species
ACCGACUCUCCAGUUCUCUCUCCCCGCCUUCCUCCUCCUCCUCCACCACCACCACCUCCACCACCUCCUCUUCCUCUUCCUCCCCCUUUCUCUCUCUCUCCCCCUCUCUCUCUUCUUCUGUCUGUCUCUGUCUUCCUCCUUUUUUUUCUGUCCCUCCCUCUCUUUCUUUUCUCUCUCUCUUUCCUCUGUCUUCCUCCUGCUCCUUCUCUCUGUCUCUCUCUGUCUGUCUCUUUGUCUGUCUGUCUCUGUCUCUGUCUCUCCCUGUCUCCCUCUCUCUCUUUCUUUCUCUCUCCCCCUCUAUCCCUAUUGAUCUCUUCUUCUGUCUGUCUUUUUGUCUUCCUCCUUUUUUCUGUCCCUCCCUCUUUCUUUUUUCUUUCUUUCCUCUCUCUAUCUUCCUCCUGCUCUUUCUCUCUCUCUGUCUGUCUCUCUGUCUCUGUCUCUCUCUCCCUCUCUCUCUCUGUCUCUCUCUCUGUCUCUCUCUCUUUCUCCCCUCUCCCUCUCUCUUCUUCUGUCUCUCUGUCUUCCUCCUUUUUUCUGUCCCUCCCUCUAUUUUUCUCUCUAUCCUCUCUUUGUCUUCCUUCUGCUCCUUCUCUCUCUCUGUCUCUCUGUCUCUCUCUCUCUCUGCCUCUUUGUCUCUCUGUCUCUCUGUCUUCCUCCCUCUCUCCCUGUCUCCCUCUCUCUCUGUCUUUGUCUCUCUCUCUUUCUCUCUUUGUCUCUCUGUCUUCCUUCCUCUCUCCCUCUCUCUGUCUCUGUCUCUCUCUCUCUCUCUGUCUCUCUCUCUCUCUCUCUCUCUCUCUCUCUCUCUCUCUCUCUCUCUCUCUCUCUCUGUCUCUUUGCCUCUGUCUUUCUCCCUUUCUGUGUCUCCUUGUCUCUGAUUUUCUUGCAUUUCAAACCCUAAUUCUAACUCCCUCUUUCCCUGAUAGGUCUCCUGGACCUCUCCUUGCUUCCUCCUUGCUGUGUCUAUGGUCCUGUUGUCUGAUGCUCGGUCUUUCCAUUCCAGCAAACCAGAGUUCCCAGAGGCCACCCAGGGUAUGUUUCACUUGGACAUUGGAGGCCUCCCUUCCCACUGCUCUAGACCAUCUACUUCCUGCCCUUGGGCCUAUCCAACUCCCCAGAUCCCAGGGUGUAACUGGUGGGCCACGUCCUGCUGUCCAUGCCUCUUCUAUAGCCCUCAUCAGCUCCCCAAGUCCCCAGCUCAGUCCCAGGCUGGUGGCAGCCAUUGCUGAGAAAGAAGCCCCCUGCCAGUCCUGGGCCCUUGGUGCUGACAGUGUCUGUCCUUCAGGACUAAGCCGAGCCAGGGUCCAGAGCAGGGGCCACCUCCCAGCCAGGCGAGAGUUAAGUCCUUUGUCGCAGAGAAGGGCAAAGCUUCUAAGGCCUCUCCCAGUUCUGAUGUUCUAUCGCGAGUCCAGAGUCUGCCUUCUGAUCUCAGGGGAAUGAUCGAUCGGAGAAAACUCAAAG